AUUGAACGCUGGCGGCAGGCCUAACACAUGCAAGUCGAGCGGCAGCGGGAAAGUAGCUUGCUACUUUUGCCGGCGAGCGGCGGACGGGUGAGUAAUGCCUGGGGAUCUGCCCAGUCGCGGGGGAUAACUACUGGAAACGGUAGCUAAUACCGCAUACGCCCUACGGGGGAAAGCAGGGGACCUUCGGGCCUUGCGCGAUUGGAUGAACUCGGGUGGGAUUAGCUAGUUGGUGAGGUAAUGGCUCACCAAGGCGACGAUCCCUAGCUGGUCUGAGAGGCUGAUCAGCCACACUGGAACUGAGACACGCUCCAGACUCCUACGGGAGGCAGCAGUGGGGAAUAUUGCACAAGGGGGGAAACCCUGAUUCAGCCAUGCCGCGUGUGUGAAGAAGGCCUUCGGGUUGUAAAGCACUUUCAGCGAGGAGGAAAGGUUGGUAGCUAAUAACUGCCAGCUGUGACGUUACUCGCAGAAGAAGCACCGGCUAACUCCGUGCCAGCCGCCGCGGUAACAC
rnacentral:rRNA from 1 species